rnacentral:lncRNA from 1 species
GAUCAGGAUUUGGUUUGAAAUCUAGGUCAGGUUUUGAUCCGAAAUUCGAAUCGAGAUCCGGUUUGGAUGAAUACCACUGAAAAUUUUUUUGUUAUUAAUGAUUUUUAUGUUUGUUGUUAGAUUGAUAUCAAUAAAAAUUGGAUGAAUGCUAGAGAUAUUUUUUUAUCUGAAUAUCGAAAAGAUAUUUGAGAUUUUAUUGAGUUUGCACGGCAUAAGACUGACAGUGC